rnacentral:rRNA from 1 species
CGACUCUCGGCAACGGAUAUCUCGGCUCUCGCAUCGAUGAAGAACGUAGCGAAAUGCGAUACUUGGUGUGAAUUGCAGAAUCCCGUGAACCAUCGAGUCUUUGAACGCAAGUMGCGCCCGAAGCCUUCGGGCCGAGGGCACGUCUGCCUGGGUGUCACG